GAGGGUAUAGCUCAAGUGGUAGAGCACAUGCUUAGCAUGCAUGAGGUCCUUGGUUCAAUCCUUAGUAGCUCCA
rnacentral:tRNA from 1 species